GACGAACGCUGGCGGCGUGCCUAACACAUGCAAGUCGAGCGAGGAGAGUUCCUUCGGGAACAAACCUAGCGGCGGACGGGUGAGUAACACGUGGGCAACCUGCCUUGUAGGGGGGAAUAGCCUUCCGAAAGGAAGAUUAAUACCGCAUAACAUUACAGUUUCGCAUGAAACAGUAAUUAAAGGAGUAAUCCGCUACAAGAUGGGCCCGCGGCGCAUUAGCUAGUUGGUGAGGUAACGGCUCACCAAGGCGACGAUGCGUAGCCGACCUGAGAGGGUGAUCGGCCACAUUGGGACUGAGACACGGCCCAGACUCCUACGGGAGGCAGCAGUGGGGAAUAUUGCACAAUGGGGGAAACCCUGAUGCAGCAACGCCGCGUGAGUGAUGAAGGUUUUCGGAUCGUAAAGCUCUGUCUUCGGGGACGAUAAUGACAGUACCCGAGGAGGAAGCCACGGCUAACUACGUG
rnacentral:rRNA from 1 species